AUCCAGCAAGUGACGAGUCCCAAAUAGGACGAAAUGCGUAUCAAACUGGAU
rnacentral:hammerhead_ribozyme from 1 species